UUAAGGGAGACCUACCCCUCAAAUAUUGAAAGCAUUUCUGCAAUUAGAUAUUGAGUUGGUUAACCUAAGGUCGUUCGCAAUUUUUUGUUCUAGCUUUCAAACUAUAUUUGGUUCGGUUCUAUUAUCUAUAUAUAUAUAUAUAUGUAUGUAUGUAGAGGUAAUAGAAUAAUGAAAUUAACUACGGGCUAUUAGCUCAGGUGGUUAGAGCGCACCCCUGAUAAGGGUGAGGUCCCUGGUUCGAGUCCAGGAUGGCCCACCUAAAUCUAAAGUUAGGAGUUAGGAGUAAAGAGUUAAGAGUUAAAACUUGAUGAAUUCGUAUCCUAACCCCUAAAACGUUUAUUUGAUUAAUUACAUACCACAAGAUUGGAAAAAUUCAGCACCUGAAGUUUUUUUAGUUAAAAGACUUGGAAUGCUGGGGUUAAUUCCAGCUUUGAACCUUGAAAACUGCAUAGAAACGCGAAUUAAGCAGGCAGACACACAGACAUUAAUUUCUUUAAUGAAUGUGGUUUGCAGACAAUCGUUUUUUUUGUUUUGGAAAAAGAUUGGUCAAGUUAUGAAG
rnacentral:tRNA from 1 species